CCUACGGGUGGCAGCAGUAGAGAAUCAUUCACAAUGGGGGAAACCCUGAUGGUGCGACGCCGCGUGGGGGAAUGAAGGUCUUCGGAUUGUAAACCCCUGUGAUGUGGAAGCAAAUUAAAAAGAUAGAACCACAAGAGGAAGAGAAGGCAAAGCCCGUGGCCGCAGCCCGGGUUAUACAGAGGUCGUAAGCGUUUAUCGGGAUCACUGGGCGGAAAGCGUGCGGAGGCUGGUUGGUAAGUCGUGUGGUAAAGGCGCGGGCUCAACCCGUAGACGGCAAAUGAUACUGGGAGACUAGAGUAAUGGAGGGGGAAGCGGAAUUCUCGGGGUAGCAGUGAAAUGCGGAGAU
rnacentral:rRNA from 1 species